AAAUUUGCAAUAGCUGUAUGAAAUAUCUGCUUCUGCAUUGUCAUCCCAGCUUCUUUCUUUUUCUUCUUGUCUUUCUUCACAUUGUCUUUGCUGGUAUCAUUUACCGCCCUCAAGUCCGACUGUUCAGAUGCCUCCUUAACAACAGUAGUAUCAAACGUCUGCUUCUGCCCAGUCGUCUCAGCUCUUCUCCUCUUAUCCUCCUUAUUUUUUCUCUUGUCUUUCUUCACAUUAGCUUUGCUUGUAUCACCUUCGGCAUGCUCCAAACAGUGUUUUACUGCCAUCCAGCCUGACUUUUCGGCCUGCUCCUUACCAACACCGUGAUUUGUGCUACCAAAAACGUCUGAACUG
rnacentral:lncRNA from 1 species